rnacentral:misc_RNA from 1 species
GAUGAAGAACGUAGCGAAAUGCGAUAAGUAGUGUGAAUUGCAGAAUUCAGUGAAUCAUCGAAUCUUUGAACGCACAUUGCGCCCCUUGGUAUUCCAUGGGGCAUGCCUGUUCGAGCGUCAUUUGUACCUUCAAGCUUUGCUUGGUGUUGGGUGUUUGUCUCGCCUUUGCGUGUAGACUCGCCUUAAAACAAUUGGCAGCCGGCGUAUUGAUUUCGGAGCGCAGUACAUCUCGCGCUUUGCACUCAUAACGACGACGUCCAAAAGUACAUUUUUACACUCUUGACCUCGGAUCAGGAAGGGAUACCCGCUGAACUUAAGCAUAUCAAUAAGCGGAGGA